GAUAAUUCUAUAUUAUUUGGCGAAAAUGUUUCGCUGACUAUGAAUGACGCAGGACAGCAUAUCGUUCUGGAAGCAACGCCUGUAGAAAUUGGUGGAAAUGGAGAAAUCAUAACGAAAUCAGCUCAGUAUGCAAUAUUAAGUGGAAAUUUAGAACAGUUUUCCUAGAUUGUCCAAACUCAAUCAGGAGGAGAUCAGCGAUUAAAAGACUUAUUAAAAGAGAUGAAUAUAGAAGCCGCUUACGACAAGUUUUAUGCUCCUGGAAUGGCUGAAGUACAUAAACUGUGACAACUUGGCGUUGGUAUUUCCAGGGAACGAAAAUAUCGGUUAUAGAGCAGAACUAAGGGAAAAAAUUAGGCUUUGGAAGCACAAUAACUUUCCAGAAGAAUAUGUUUCGACUCUAAGUAUGAACUUAAAUAUCAAAAAUUGGAUUGAAAAUCAAUCUCUUGACUCGCCAGCUACCAAUUCCACUUCGUCUGAAGCCACGGUAACGGUUGACAUGACACGGUUUACAUGUCACGGUAACGUAUUGGAAUGAUUAAUAGCAGCUCAUUUGAUAUAAAUUAUUUAAUUAAGUUAGACUCUUAAAUAAAAUCCCAUAAUGAAAAGUAUUUGGAAUUGUUUCACAAACCCCUUAAACCUAAAUUUAACUUUUUAAAUCAUUAUGUGCGUGUCAUAAAACAAUCAGGCCCUCUUAAAUACUUAUGGACUUUUCGAUUCGAAUCUAAGCACAAGGAAGCAAAAAUGUAUGCAAGAAGUAUUACUUCCAGAAAAAAUAUAACCUAUAGUCUAAGCAUGAAAGCAUCUUUAAAGUUUGCAAUAUUUAUAAGGGUCCAUAAUGACCAAACGCAAUAUGAACAAACUGAGCAUUUUCGGAUUAAAGAUUGUAGGUAUUCUAACAAUAUCGUGGAUUUUCGAGAUUUUGAAUCUUUGUUCGCAAAUAAUUUAAAAGUUAAAUCAGUAAACUUUAAGGGAACGACGUAUAAAAAGGGCCAAUUUUUAACAAUAACUACUGACGAAGUCAUUGAACUAUAUGAAAUAAAAGAAAUACUUAUAAGUUUAAAUAAGGGGGCUUACUUUCUAGCCCACAAAUAUGAAAUUAUGGGUUUCUUAGAGCACUAUCAAUCGUACAAAGUUGGUUGUAUAAACAGUGUUAUUGAAUUAAAAAAUGUUGAGUUUUUCACAAGCCCACCUAUUCAUUUGUACUACAUUUACGAAGGAACUCCUGUUAUAAGAAAUAAGAAUUUUUAGUACCUGUUUAUUCAUAUUAAAAAUAUGUA